rnacentral:tRNA from 1 species
AUUUAUAUAAUUUAAAUUAAAAUAUUAUAAUUUCAUUAUAAAAAUAAUUAAUAUUAAUUUAUAAAUU